GGACCUGUCUCCAUCCAGCCAUCCUGCUUCUCCUAUGCUUCAACGCUGUCCUCUCUGCUGGAUCUUUCGCUACAGCGCACAAGCAACGCUAGUAUCUCUCCCCACUUAACGUAUCUCUUGACUCCAGUUACUUCAUCGGUUGCUGUCUCGUCUCCCGGUUCACUUCUGCAGUGCUAACCAUUCCAUACCUGCUGCCUCCAUUUCCUUCCCUCUCAUUUGCUCUUAAACUAAAUCCAGCCUGACAUUUGGAUACACACAUGACUACUAACAUAGAAUUAUCACUGACACUAGUGCAGCCAAGUCUAGAGUUUGGCUCUGAGUCCUUGUCUUGGUUGAGUUGUUGGUAGCGCUGACCACAGUUAAUCACUUCUUGAUGCAUGUCCCUCCCUGGACGCAUGCUGCCCACUCUUCAGAUUAUUGCUGUCCUUUCCUCUGAACGCCACAGGCCAGGGCUCAGACCACAGGUCUUCCAUACAGUUAGUUCCUUGCUGGUUUCACUUUGCUUCUCUUUUUGUCGGGGACUUUACAGUUUCUACCUCCUGCCUAGGUUCUCUCACCCAGCCACACACACAGCUGCUAUUGGCAAUCCAACAGGAGGUUCUAUCAAACCCCAAAUCAUGAUGACGUGUCCCUUGUGCGGUUUGUCCCCCAUGCCUCUCUUCAUGGCAUCCUCACUCCGGCCUGAUGGACCAGCUCUCUGUUUGAAACUCCGCUUGUCACAGCGUGACAGAAAAUGAAAGCAGUAAGCUGCAAACUGACUCUGGGGACCCCUGCUCACACUUUGUUGGUGACAUCGAGCCCCAUGGAUAAUCCUACAAAGCGGGAGACCACAGCCUUUGUCCGCACAGCCUGGAGAUUCGCAGGUUGCAAAGCUUGGAUUUCUUGAGUUCUCUGCUUUCCCACCCAUGUUCAGGUCUUCAGCUGCAGCAUCUACACCAGCCCAGAAGCGGAGUGUUUUCUCAGCUCUGCUACCAUCACGUACCACUGUUUCCUUCUCAGAUCCUUUCUUCCACCUUCUAGGAAGCACCCGUUACUCCGAAGCAAGCUAUAUAGUGUUAAUCCCACGGAUGGAGAGUAAGACCACAACCACAGUCUAAAGCCAAAAUUGAAGCAAGCUUUAAUUACAUACUGACCAGGUGGAUGGGCUCUGGCCAGGUCCCAUCUCUGGGUUUCCAGAAGGAGGCCCUGAAUCAAGUUGUGCAAUGGCUUAAGCAUUUCCUAUAAGGUUCAAUCAGGGGCAAGCAUACAGCCUGAUGUACCUCCAGCCCACAUCCAAUCAGGGCCAAGCAUGCGUCCUGACAUAUUUCCUGCCUGUGAACUUGCUGCCCACAUGUGAUCAAGCAUAUCCGGUGCACAUGGGUCAAACAGACUUGUUUAGGGGAGUGAAAACAUGCGGCUUG